rnacentral:rRNA from 1 species
GAUGAACGCUGGCGGCGUGCUUAACACAUGCAAGUCGAACGAUGAUCCGGUGCUUGCACCGGGGAUUAGUGGCGAACGGGUGAGUAACACGUGAGUAACCUGCCCUUAACUCUGGGAUAAGCCUGGGAAACUGGGUCUAAUACCGGAUAUGACCUUCCAUCGCAUGGUGGUUGGUGGAAAGCUUUUUGUGGUUUGGAUGGACUCGCGGCCUAUCAGCUUGUUGGUGAGGUAANGGCUUACCAAGGCGACGACGGGUAGCCGGCCUGAGA